rnacentral:rRNA from 1 species
UACGUAGGGGGCAAGCGUUGUCCGGAAUUAUUGGGCGUAAAGCGCGUGUAGGCGGCUUGGUAAGUCUGGUGUGAAACCUUGGGGCUCAACCCCAAGCCUGCACUGGAUACUGCCUCGCUAGAGUCCGGGAGGGGAGGGCGGAAUUCCUAGUGUAGCGGUGAAAUGCGCAGAUAUUAGGAAGAACACCGGUGGCGAAGGCGGCCCUCUGGAACGGUACUGACGCUAAGACGCGAAAGCGUGGGGAGCGAACAGG